GUGGCGGACGGGUGAGUAAUGUCUGGGAAACUGCCUGAUGGAGGGGGAUAACUACUGGAAACGGUAGCUAAUACCGCAUAACGUCGCAAGACCAAAGAGGGGGACCUUCGGGCCUCUUGCCAUCAGACGUGCCCAGAUGGGAUUAGCUAGUAGGUGGGGUAACGGCUCACCUAGGCGACGAUCCCUAGCUGGUCUGAGAGGAUGACCAACCACACUGGAACUGAGACACGGUCCAGACUCCUACGGGAGGCAGCAUG
rnacentral:rRNA from 1 species